rnacentral:rRNA from 1 species
CAGCCGUAAACGAUGUGCGUUAGGUGUAUCGACGACCACGAGUUGUCGAGGUGCCGAAGGGAAACCGUGAAACGUACCGCCUGGGAAGUACGGUCGCAAGGCUGAAACUUAAAGGAAUUGGCGGGGGGAGCACCACAACAGGUGGAGCCUGCGGUUUAAUUGGACUCAACGCCGGACAUCUCACCGGAUAAGACAGCUGAAUGAUUGCCGGGCUGAAGACUCUGCAUGACUAGCUGAGAGGUGGUGCAUGGCGUAGUCGUGU